UGCCUGGGAGCANNCUUGUCGGAGUGUCUGUUGACACCACUCGCCCCACUUUUCGGUCUGCUGUAUGUAGUGCCGAGAUGUUGGCGGCGGACUCUGCGUGUUCCGGAGCUCGCGCUCCGAGUGCACCUAACCUCGUKAACGAGACCCCCCUGUUCAGAUGAGCAGGAUUGUUGACGGCAUGGCGCGCUGCUUCGGCGGUUCGUCACGACUUCUACAAUCCGCCGUACGCUCUCUCCUUGUAACACUGGUGGCGGUCGCCUUUAGUUCCGGUUGCCCUUUGCGCGAUACGAUAUACUAACCCAACUUUCGUUCG
rnacentral:rRNA from 1 species